UUGCACGCUGGCGGCAUGCCUUACACAUGCCAGUCGAACGGCAGCACGGGUGCUUGCACCUGGUGGCGAGUGGCGAACGGGUGAGUAAUACAUCGGAACAUGUCCUGUAGUGGGGGAUAGCCCGGCGAAAGCCGGAUUAAUACCGCAUACGAUCCACGGAUGAAAGCGGGGGACCUUCGGGCCUCGCGCUAUAGGGUUGGCCGAUGGCUGAUUAGCUAGUUGGUGGGGUAAAGGCCUACCAAGGCGACGAUCAGUAGCUGGUCUGAGAGGACGACCAGCCACACUGGGACUGAGACACGGCCCAGACUCCUACGGGAGGCAGCAGUGGGGAAUUUUGGACAAUGGGCGAAAGCCUGAUCCAGCAAUGCCGCGUGUGUGAAGAAGGCCUUCGGGUUGUAAAGCACUUUUGUCCGGAAAGAAAUCCUUGACUCUAAUACAGUCGGGGGAUGACGGUACCGGAAGAAUAAGCACCGGCUAACUACGUG
rnacentral:rRNA from 1 species